UGCUAUUAUGUUUCUUUAUAGUAGCUUUUUACCGAUACACGUAAAUAUCUCACAACUUGUCAACAAGAUAUGUUCACAACAGGCUUGUAGCAAGCUUGUCAACAAGUUGUAACAAUGCUGUUAUUUUAUCAAGUUGCUUCAAGCCUGUCACUCACAACUUGUUGACAAAUUGUUGAAUUGCAGGACGAUAACAAGUUGUUGGAACAACUUGUAACAAGUCUGUUGAACUCAACAACCUUGUAGCAAGUUGUCAACAAGCCGUUGACAACUUGUCAACAAGCUGGGAACAAGCAGUGCGAACACAUCCUGUUGACAAG